AAGUUGCAGGGUAUAGACCCGAAACCCGGUGAUCUAGCCAUGGGCAGGUUGAAGGUUGGGUAACACUAACUGGAGGACCGAACCGACUAAUGUUGAAAAAUUAGCGGAUGACCUGUGGCUGGGGGUGAAAGGCCAAUCAAACCGGGAGAUAGCUGGUUCUCCCCGAAAGCUAUUUAGGUAGCGCCUCGUGAAUUCAUCUCCGGGGGUAGAGCACUGUUUCGGCUAGGGGGCCAUCCCGGCUUACCAACCCGAUGCAAACUGCGAAUACCGGAGAAUGUUAUCACGGGAGACACACGGCGGGUGCUAACGUCCGUCGUGAAGAGGGAAACAACCCAGACCGCCAGCUAAGGUCCCAAAGUCAUGGUUAAGUGGGAAACGAUGUGGGAAGGCCCAGACAGCCAGGAUGUUGGCUUAGAAGCAGCCAUCAUUUAAAGAAAGCGUAAUAGCUCACUGGUCGAGUCGGCCUGCGCGGAAGAUGUAACGGGGCUAAACCAUGCACCGAAGCUGCGGCAGCGAACGUAUCACCCAAGACAACUUUACGGAGUUGACGAUUGACGGAGCGAAGCGACGUCAAAGCGUUCAUUAAAGUCGAGUUGGCUUAGGGAUACGUUCGUUGGGUAGGGGAGCGUUCUGUAAGCCUGUGAAGGUGUGUCGUGAGGCAUGCUGGAGGUAUCAGAAGUGCGAAUGCUGACAUAAGUAACGAUAAAGCGGGUGAAAAGCCCGCUCGCCGGAAGACCAAGGGUUCCUGUCCAACGUUAAUCGGGGCAGGGUGAGUCGACCCCUAAGGCGAGGCCGAAAGGCGUAGUCGAUGGGAAACGGGUUAAUAUUCCCGUACUUGGUGUUACUGCGAAGGGGGGACGGAGAAGGCUAUGUUGGCCGGGCGACGGUUGUCCCGGUUUAAGCGUGUAGGUGUGUGUUCCAGGUAAAUCCGGUUCACUUUAACACUGAGGCGUGACGACGAGGCACUACGGUGCUGAAGCAACAAAUGCCCUGCUUCCAGGAAAAGCCUCUAAGCAUCAGGUAACAUCAAAUCGUACCCCAAACCGACACAGGUGGUCAGGUAGAGAAUACCAAGGCGCUUGAGAGAACUCGGGUGAAGGAACUAGGCAAAAUGGUGCCGUAACUUCGGGAGAAGGCACGCUGACACGUAGGUGAAGUGAUUUACUCAUGGAGCUGAAGUCAGUCGAAGAUACCAGCUGGCUGCAACUGUUUAUUAAAAACACAGCACUGUGCAAACACGAAAGUGGACGUAUACGGUGUGACGCCUGCCCGGUGCCGGAA
rnacentral:rRNA from 1 species